rnacentral:rRNA from 1 species
GACGAACGCUGGCGGCGGGCCUAAUACAUGCAAGUCGGACGCAGUUGCGAACGGGUGAGUAAGGCGUAGGUCACUGGAUAGUAGAGGGGGCUAACAAUUGGAAACGAUAGCUAAUACCGCAUACUUGUAGAUGGAGCUGCGUUGUAAUAGCUUGGAGGUCGGGUAAUGGCCUCCCUAGGCAACGAUACAUAGGCGACUUGGGGGGGAGAUCGGCCACACUGGGACUGGGGCACGGCCCAAACCCCCACGGGGGGGAGCAAUAGGGGAACUUCGGCAAUGGGGGGAACCCUGACCGCGCAACGCCGCGUGGGUGAAGAAGGUUUUCGGGUCUUAAAGCUCUGUUGUUAAGGAAGCGGUACUUAACGAAAAAGGGACGGCUAACUACGUGCCAGCAGCCGCGGUAAUUC